rnacentral:rRNA from 1 species
CGGGGUGAGUAAUGUCUGGGAAACUGCCUGAUGGAGGGGGGUAACUACUGGAAACGGUAGCUAAUACCGCAUAACGUCUUCGGACCAAAGUGGGGGGACUUCGGGCCUCACGCCAUCGGAUGUGCCCAGAUGGGAUUAGCUAGUAGGUGGGGUAAUGGCUCACCUAGGCGACGAUCCCUAGCUGGUCUGAGAGGAUGACCAGCCACACUGGAACUGAGACACGGUCCAG